AGCCACAGCAGCGGGCUUCAGCAUAAGCUAUGAUGGCUCUAGAGGCUAGCACCUCCCCCCCCCAAAAAUAUGGCUCAGUAUGAUGGAUCGGUAGUCAAAGACGGG